UACCUGCCUCUUGAAUUUGACUGU
rnacentral:piRNA from 1 species